GACGAACGUUGGCGGCGUGCUCAACACAUGUAAGCAGAACGAAGAGCGUUGGAUGUUCGUUUCCAUCACAUUUAGUGGCGAACGGUAGAUUAAUGCGUAAUCAACCUGCACUUCAGUGUGGGAUACUAGUUGGAAACGACUGUUAAUACUUCUUACGAUUUACUCUUGUUAUCGAUGACAGAUGAAAGGUGGCCAUUAUAUUUAUGCCUAACAUGUAGUAGUUGAGUGCGUCGGACUAGCUAGUGGGCGGGGAAACGGUAAACUAAGGCGAUGAUCAGUAGGCGGCCUGAGAGAGUGAACGGACACAAUGGGACUGAGCCACGGCCCAGACUCCUACGGGAGGCAGCAGUGGGGAAUCUUCCGCAAUGGACGAAAGUCUGACGGAGCAACGCCGCGUGAGUGAUGACGGCCUUCGGGUUGGAAAGCUCUGUUAAUCGGGACGAAAGGCCUUCUUGCGAAUAGUGGGAAGGAUUGACGGUACCGGAAUAGAAAGCCACGGCUAACUACGUG
rnacentral:rRNA from 1 species